rnacentral:lncRNA from 1 species
AAAAAAAACAAACACCCCUCUUUUGCUCUGCUAGGGUUUCACCCCUAGCGUCCUCGCACCGCCGUUUCCCAUGCCAAAACCUCCCUCAAACGCCGAUUGCAACGGAGCGAUGAGGGAUCGAAGGCGCCAAUAUAAGGUAAACUUGCCCUUUUAUUUCUUUUCCUUGAAUAAACAGUAGAUAUUAACAAAAAAUCAAUUGUAGAAAUAAAAACAAGAGAAAACGCUACAGUGGUAAAUCACCUUCUGCUUUGGUUUCUAUUUUCCCUUGUAUUUUCUCUCUUAUUAGUGUCUAUCCCCCUUUUUACAGAUUUUGAUAGGCCUUUUAUAGGCCGAAAGAAAGAAAAUAAAUUAAAUACAAAUUGUUUUCUUUGAUUUUUUUUCUUUCAGGACUCUUUGAAUCUGUUUUUUUUUGCAGGCGUCGUGCGCGUGAAUGACGUGCGUGGGGAGGGCGAUCUCCGAAUUGUGCGGCGUCUGGACUCUUGCUGGAGGCGUCGAGGCUGAUGGGGCUUGCGGCGCUGAGGCAAGGAGGCUGCUAGGGUUUCAACAAAUUAAUUUUUGCUGGACUAGGGUUUGCAAAUCGGUUAUUGGGCUUGUAUUGGGCCACUUAUUUGUUGGGUUUGACAUAUUUUUGUUUAAUUUGGACCCAGGCCGGUUGGGCCUUAUUACACAUGGAAU